GGAAUAAGAGAGGAAAGGCAACUCUAGCCACAUUAAUCACUUUUAUCAGGCAGAUAAAUGCUUUUCCUGAAUCUUUCAAUAGACUUUCAUUUUACAUUUGGCAUAUUUUUGUCAUAUAGCCUUCCCUAGCUGCAAGGGAGGCUUUUCAAACUUCUUUAUGGAAUUCAGCAAGAAAGUAAAGAGGUUUCAAAAGAGCAUAAAGGAUCAGAUGCAAGUGUUUUGUUGCCUCUGUUUGCCUGUCUAGAAGCCAUUGAGCUUUUCCAGCCAGAUGGAGGGAGAGAUAAAAGCCUGGUCCUCCCAGUCUCCAGCUGCUGUUGCUUUUCUGUACCAUGUCAUGUCAGUGUUGAAGACGGGACUGCCCAUCUAACAACUGAUGUUCUGUGAUGCAAUAGUUCAUUGUUCGUGACUUUUAUAUCUUUCUCUUGCCUAAUUGCUCUGACAAGGACUUCCAGUACUCUAGUGAAUAGAUGUAGUGAGAGUGGGCAUCCUUGUCUGUUCUUGAUCUUAGAAAAAAAGCUUUUAACUUUUCUCUGGUGAGUAUAAUUAAUUAAUCUUGGUUUGACUAUCCCAUGAAGAUAUGUGAGAAUGAUCUCACCAGCAGAAUAUGGAACCACUCAGAAAGCAUUGACUGCCUCCCAUAUUAUGGGCCAAGCACCAUUCUGGGCUCUAAGUGCAAUGAAGUGACUAUAAAAAUGA